AGAGUUUGAUCAUGGCUCAGGACGAACGCUGGCGGCACGCCUAACACAUGCAAGUCGAACGGAGCAUGGAGCUUGCUUCAUGCUUAGUGGCGGACGGGUGAGUAACACGUGAGCAACCUGCCUUUGAGAGAGGGAUAGCUUCUGGAAACGGAUGGUAAUACCUCAUGACAUAGCGAUACCGCAUGGUAUGGUUAUCAAAGAUUUAUCGCUCAAAGAUGGGCUCGCGUCUGAUUAGAUAGUUGGUGGGGUAAAGGCCUACCAAGUCGACGAUCAGUAGCCGGACUGAGAGGUUGAACGGCCACAUUGGGACUGAGACACGGCCCAGACUCCUACGGGAGGCAGCAGUGAGGGAUAUUGCACAAUGGGGGAAACCCUGAUGCAGCGAUGCCGCGUGGAGGAAGAAGGUUUUCGGAUUGUAAACUCCUGUUUCGAGGGAAGAAGACGACGGUACCUCGGGAGGAAGCUCCGGCUAACUACGUGCCAGCAGCCGCGGUAAUACGUAGGGAGCGAGCGUUGUCCGGAAUUACUGGGUGUAAAGGGAGCGCAGGCGGGAUUGCAAGUCAGGUGUGAACUGCAGUGGCUCAACCACUGAGCUGCACUUGAAACUGUAGUUCUUGAGUGAAGUAGAGGUAAGCGGAAUUCCUGGUGUAGCGGUGAAAUGCGUAGAUAUCAGGAGGAACACCGGUGGCGAAGGCGGCUUACUGGGCUUUAACUGACGCUGAGGCUCGAAAGCGUGGGGAGCAAACAGGAUUAGAUACCCUGGUAGUCCACGCUGUAAACGAUGAUGACUAGGUGUGGGG
rnacentral:rRNA from 1 species